CCCUUAGACGUUCUGGGCCGCACGCGCGCUACACUGACGAAGGCAACGAGCUUUCCUUUACCGAAAGGUACGGGUAAUCUUUUGAAACUUCGUCGUGCUGGGGACAGAUCCUUGCAAUUUUUGAUCUUAAACGAGGAAUUCCUAGUAAGCGCAAGUCAUCAACUUGCGUUGAUUACGUCCCUGCCCUUUGUACACACCGCCCGUCGCUACUACCGAUUGAAUGGUUUAGUGAGGCCUUCGGAUCCGCGACUCGUUUUGUGGAGAAGUUGGACAAACUCAGUCAUUUAGAGGAAGUAAAAGUCGUAACA
rnacentral:rRNA from 1 species